GACGAACGCUGGCGGCGUGCUUAACACAUGCAAGUCGAACGGAAAGGCCCUGCUUUUGUGGGGUGCUCGAGUGGCGAACGGGUGAGUAACACGUGAGUAACCUGCCCUUGACUUUGGGAUAACUUCAGGAAACUGGGGCUAAUACCGGAUAGGAGCUCCUGCUGCAUGGUGGGGGUUGGAAAGUUUCGGCGGUUGGGGAUGGACUCGCGGCUUAUCAGCUUGUUGGUGGGGUAGUGGCUUACCAAGGGUUUGACGGGUAGCCGGCCUGAGAGGGUGACCGGCCACAUUGGUACUGAGAAACGGCCCAGACUCCUACGGGAGGCAGAAGUGGGGAAUAUUGCACAAUGGGCGGAAGCCUGAUGCAGCAAAGCCGCGUGCGGGAUGACGGCCUUCGGGUUGUAAACCGCUUUCGCCUGUGACGAAGCGUGAGUGACGGUAAUGGGUAAAGAAGCACCGGCUAACUACGUG
rnacentral:rRNA from 1 species